CACACAUAUCAUGCCAUCUCUGGAAUAAGUUAUAAAUUAUGCUAAUAUAUGAAUUUUUUGAAAAUUACAAAAAUAUUCUGAAAAUUUUGAAAAAUAUUGCAAACAAACCCUGUCAUGUGGUGCCAAUUGUUAUUGGAUCACUUGGAAGCAUCACAUUAAAUCUUGGAAAAUUUCUUAAAGAACUGGACAUCAAAUUGAGCACUGCUGAACUACAAAAAACAACAUUGCUCGGCUCAAAUUAUAUUUUAAGAAGAUAUCUGGACAGUUCUUAGAUUCCAGGUAGGAAUCCGAAUGACCAAUGACAUCAAACAAAGACAUGAUUGUGUGAUUUUAGUCAUCUUUGUGAUAUGCAGUUUUUGUAUAAUUUCAAUAAUAAUAAUAAUAAUAAUAAUAAUAAUAAUAAUAA
rnacentral:lncRNA from 1 species